rnacentral:rRNA from 1 species
CGAUGAAGAGCGCAGCCAGCUGCGUUAAUUAAUGUGAAUUGCAGGACACAUUGAACAUCGAGAUCUUGAACGCAUAUGGCGGCCUCGGGAUCCCGGGGCCACGCCCGUCUCAGGGUCGGUU